rnacentral:lncRNA from 1 species
AGUCAUCCAAUACCAGCAAUACAUCAAUCCAUCCUUCAGGAUUAGACGCCAUAGGCAUCUGAAUGUGCCACCAUUGCAGAACUCUCAUUCAAAUUUUUCAAGUGCACAAAUAAUGAAGCAGUAUAGUUUUGAAGAAAUCAAAUUCGUCCACAAAAAUAAUGAGACAAUACAUGUUGCAAACUUUCCUGCAAAUUGUAUUAUCUCAAACAAUUAUAUUUGUACAGUCACCUCAUGUAUAUGUAUGU